rnacentral:rRNA from 1 species
GAUCCCGCCGGAGGCUACCGCUAUUGGAGUUCGAUUAANCCAUGCGAGUCGAGAGUCUUAGGGACUCGGCGUACCGCUCAGUAACACGUGGGUAACCUGCCCUAUGCUGGGGAAUAACCUCGGGAAACUGAGAAUAAUGCCCCAUAGUCCACAAUGCCGGGAACGGUUUGUGGAUCAAAGCUCCGGCGGCAUAGGAUGGGCCUGCGGCGUAUCAGGUCGUAGGGGGUGUAACGUACCCUCUAGCCAUCGACGCGUACGGGUGUUGGGAGACAUAGCCCGGAGAUGGAUUCUGAGACACGAAUCCAGACCCUACGGGGUGCAGCAGGCGCGAAAACUUGGCAAUGCGAGAAAUCGUGACCAGGGAACUCCAAGUGGCUGGGGUAAGACCCAGUCUUUUCUUGACUCUUCAAAGGUCUUGGAAUAAGGGGUGGGUAAGGACGGUGCCAGCCGCCGCGGUAAUACCGGCGCCUCAAGUGGUAGUCGAUUUUAUUGGGCCUAAAACGUCCGUAGCCUGUUUGGUACAUUCGUGGGUAAAUCAACCAGCUCAACCGAUUGAAUUCUGCGAGCACGGCCAGACUUGGGACCGGGAGAGGUGUGGGG